rnacentral:rRNA from 1 species
GACGAACGCUGGAGGCGUGCUUAACACAUGCAAGUCGAACGAUGAAGUGGAGCUUGCUCCAUGGAUUAGUGGCGAACGGGUGAGUAACACGUGAAUAACCUGCCCUUAAUUUUGGAAUAACCCAGGGAAACCUGGGCUAAUACCGGAUAAGUAAACCUGUGGCAUCACAUGGUUUUGGAAAGUUUUUCGAUUAAGGAUGGAUUCGCGGCCUAUCAGCUUGUUGGUGAGGUGAUGGCUCACCAAGGCGACGCCGGGUAGCCGGCCUGAGAGGGUGAAGGGCCACACUGGGACUGAGACACGGCCCAGACUCCUACGGGAGGCAGCAGUGGGGAAUAGUGCGCAAUGGACGAAAGUCUGACGCAGCGAAGCCUCGUGAGGGACGAAGGUCUUCGGAUUGUAAACCUCUUUCAGCAGGGACGAAGCGAAAGUGACGGUACCUGCAGAAGAAGCACCGGCUAACUAUGUGCCAGCAGCCGCGGUAA